rnacentral:rRNA from 1 species
CCUACGGGAGGCAGCAGUGGGGAAUCUUGCGCAAUGGGCGAAAGCCUGACGCAGCCAUGCCGCGUGAAUGAUGAAGGUCUUAGGAUUGUAAAAUUCUUUCACCGGGGACGAUAAUGACGGUACCCGGAGAAGAAGCCCCGGCUAACUUCGUGCCAGCAGCCGCGGUAAUACGAAGGGGGCUAGCGUUGCUCGGAAUUACUGGGCGUAAAGGGAGCGUAGGCGGAUAGUUUAGUCAGAGGUGAAAGCCCAGGGCUCAACCUUGGAAUUGCCUUUGAUACUGGCUAUCUUGAGUACGGAAGAGGUAUGUGGAACUCCGAGUGUAGAGGUGAAAUUCGUAGAUAUUCGGAAGAACACCAGUGGCGAAGGCGACAUACUGGUCCGUUACUGACGCUGAGGCUCGAAAGCGUGGGGAGCAAACAGGAUUAGAUACCCUGGUAGUCCACGCUGUAAACGAUGAGUGNUAGUUGUCGGCGAUGCAUGCAUGUCGGUGGACGCGAGCUAACGUAC